rnacentral:rRNA from 1 species
UCCGGGGCCACACACGUGCUACAAUGGGCGCUACAACGGGUUGCCACUCCGCAAGGAGGAGCUAAUCCCUGAAAAGCGUCCCCAGUUCAGAUCGAGGGCUGCAACUCGCCCUCGUGAAGUUGGAAUCGCUAGUAAUCGCGAAUCAGCAGGUCGCGGUGAAUACGUUCCCGGGCCUU